GGGCAAAGGGAGGAUUCCCAUGGGUGCAAAACUGUUGCAGUCAUUUGACAUCCACAAGCCCAGGAUUUGAUGAAGGAGAAGCUGUGGUGCUUUGAUCCCCUAACUAGUACUUCUCAGAAAAUGUACAGCCACAUGGAUCAUGCUCUGAAGUGAAGCCCCAGAAGAUGUUGCUCGUCGAGGCGUUAUGUCUGCGGAGAUUCUCAUGGUAUCAGCACGUUCUUCCAACAUUUUGCGGCAAUGUGAGAGGAAACAAAAGGAUGUCGAAAGUUGGUAAAAAUGCAAAGCAUUUCAUGUGGUACAUAAGUGAGAAUUAAAGGAGGGAGAGAGCUUUCUAUCAGCCCUCUGCAGUGGGUGAGGAUGUCCUGAAACCUGUUUAAAAUGUGGCAAAGCAGAGCUGCAUCAUGUCAAAUCUUUCUCAAUGUUUUUGACGUCAUCCUCUUGGUGACAGUGAUGGGGAGAUAUAGACAAAUGUUACAUGACUUGUCAGUGAGUGACGUAUCUGGGGUCAGCACUGGGACCUGGCUCCAGUCGUGGCUGACUCCCAAGCCCACUGCCUGACCCAUGCCCAUGUCUGUGUUUGAAACAGGCUAGCAAAAGCCAAUGGGUGCAGCUUGGUGGGCUUGGCUGGUGGUCCUAUUAUGCAACUGACACGGUCAGUAGAUAUUCAUACUUGGGCAUUGCAACACAUUCGCUGCACAUUUCAUUGCAACCUGCGAUAAGAGAGAUAACCAACCUGCUUUCCAGAAGGUUUUUUGCUGUUACUUAUUGACAAAGCACUCAGCUGUCAAACUUGCACAAUCCUGCAGGCCCUAUAAAUACCCGAUGCCUUUCCUAGCCGCUUCCACAAUCAACCUUCAUCCUUCAUUGGUCAUUCAGACGCUUUGCAGGAGCACGAAGCCUAAAAAUCAACUGGCAGCCAUGAGGAUCCUCUACGUGCUCUUCGCUGUUGUCUUCCUCCUCUUCCAGGCUACUUCAGGUUCCGCAGAUCCUAUUUUUCCUGACACCGCAGAGUGCAAGAACCAGGGAAAUUUCUGCCGUGCUGGUCCAUGCCCACCCACCUUCACUGUCUCAGGGUCAUGUCAUGGGGGGCUGCUGAAAUGCUGCUCAAAGAUUGUGGCACAGUAAGAAGAGGCGGCUUUCCUGGGUCAACGCCCUUGUACCAGCAACAUUUCCACUGCCGUGAGGAGGUGAUUUUGAUGGAUUCCUCCUCUUUUUAAACCCUACUGCAAAUAAGCAUGAAAAAAAGCUUCCAGAGGGCAUGCCCUGUCAGCACACUGCUUCUGAAGAUCCAGGUUUUUCUUUGCUGAAGUCACUCCCUUUUUUGCUUUUAAUACACAAGCCACUUUGGCACCUUGGCCACCUAUUCCAGCCUACCUCACGGUGAUGUUUGGAUGUUCGAUCAGUUCCGGCUCAUGCAGCUCUUGGAGGAUGUGAAGCAACAUAUAUGUUAUUAUUUUAUUCACACACAAAAAUAAAUAUCUUCUUAAACCAAUAACUGUGAUCUUCUAUUGUUACUAACAAUAAUUUUCUCUGUGGUUUUGACUCAAAGCUCAUUGAGUCGAGUCAUGCAAUCUUUUUAAGCACAUAAGUCUGUGCAGUCUCAUAUUCCCGAGUGAUCUGGAAAAGAGAAUGGGUAAAACAGCAAACAGUUUUGAUGUUACUAAAAUGUUCAGGGUGGCAAGAUGACAGUUGAGUGUGAAGAACUGUAAAAGCAAAUCCUGAUAGUGAGUGACUGAAUGACAAAAUGGCAAGCAAUAAACACCUCCAGUACUAGCACUGCAAA